UGAGAGCACAGAACUAGACACCCAUUAAAAAGGCCCUGGACGACCAUUUGCCAGUCUGUGAUACCCCUUUUAAGAGCACAGGAUAGUGCUUUAAAUGGGCUCUUUCCUACCUGAUUGCGUGUCAUCUCUGGAGCAGAUUAGACAGCAGGCAGCGGGGUCUUUGGUGGAGCAGCAUGCUCCCUUCUGCCACAGGAGAGACGACUGAGAGGAGUCAUCCAUCACUGCUUUUGUGAGGCCCUUGCGCAAGGGGAUGAGCAGCUAAUGACUGCUUUGCUCGGGCUGGAGAUGGAGCACUGGGCCUUGCUGCCCACUGUUCUGUAGGAGAGGAAUGGAGACUGGAGUAGCUGCUGAACUUCCAGAUGAUACUGAGGCCUAUGAUAUAGGAUACAGAUUUACUGUAUUUAGGAAUCACAGUGUCCAGGUCUCUCUCCAUAAGCAUUCAAGCUGAAAACCACUCAUAUCACUUCAGAUUAGCCUCACAUGUAACAACAUGGAAAACAUAAUAUACACUGUUGCUCAUAAAGUUGGAAUCAAAUAUUUUUUACCUCUUUCCCUGAAAUGAUUGUGACAAUGUGAUUUAUUCUUGACAGAUAAAGUGUAUAUCUUCUCAAAACUUUAGUAGUCAAUCUCUUCCAAACAUAUCGCAAUGAAAAUGAAACCACAAUUAAACUGAAAAUAAAAUUAUUCCAACUUUAUGGGCAACAGUGUAUAUGGAGGUUUAUCUAUGCAGUAAAGAACUGAUCUAACAAGAAAAGACAGUAAUUUUAUUCACUUCACUUUUUUUUCAUUCAAAAAUAUCUAUUACAGCACAUAAUUUAGCAAAUAUUAUGUGACAUCUUUCAAAAAAAGGUGAAAGAAUACGGAUUUAGUGUUUGUUUUUAUCAAAACUUAAAAGGACUUAUAUUUGUGCAAUUUUAUGAAUAUUAAAUACUGUUUGUCUAACAAAGGUUAUGCUCCAGCUUUACCCUAAUGCAGUGUGAUAUUUGUGUAGGUAUUCAUGCCUAAUUUGAUUCAACUGUCAUAAAAAUGCAGAUCUGAACCACGAAAGAUGAGUUAUCUCAUCUAUAAUGGCCUUUGUACCAUCAUCAAACUUACAAUUUGCUGUCUAGAGAUGGUUAUCAUCGCCGGACAUCCCCGUUCAACACUUCAACCCCAGCUCACCGUAAUCAACCAACCAAUCCCUAAAACAACAAUAGGGAGAGAUAAAAGCAGUGCUGUGUAAACCACAGCAGCUUCUCUUCCUCUUGAGCACAAAACCCAUGGCCACCGCUUCCCGUGUCAAAGAUUGCAGCAGGAUUUCAUCCAGGAAAGGAUGAGUAUUCUCCUAGCUAAUCCUGGUUCUGUGGUCUUGGUGGGACGAGCCUGGCUGUGUUGCAAAGGAGCACCGUGGGAUUGUCGUGAAAAGAGCUAAAAUGAACAGCAGCUGAAAUGACAACAUGAAUAACUAUUAAUUUAGAUUGAUAAUUUUCAUGUUUUGUCUAUUAUGUGUAAUUUUGUGCACAAUUAUCAGACCUUUUUUUGGUUAUUUGAUCCAAGAAGUGGAAAACAGUGGAAUAAUGCUCUUCAGAUGGCACUUAGUAAGUGAUUUGUAACAUUAUAGCCUACAGAUUAUGCUGUUUGUACACCACACAAGGCCACCCUAUUAAAUCUCAUCAAACAUAA